GGAGAGAUGGCGAACGGCGGAUUGCUAAUCCGUUAUUAUUCGUACCGAGGGUUCGAAUCCCUUCUCUUUCCG
rnacentral:tRNA from 1 species